rnacentral:rRNA from 1 species
GUCAUAUGCUUGUCUCAAAGAUUAAGCCAUGCAUGUCUCAGUACAAGCCAAAUUAAGGUGAAACCGCGAAAGGCUCAUUAAAUCAGUUAUGGUUCCUUAGAUCGUACCCACACUUACUUGGAUAACUGUGGUAAUUCUAGAGCUAAUACAUGCAAACAGAGCUCCGACCGGAGACGGAAGGAGUGCUUUUAUUAGAUCAAAACCAAUCGGUGGCGGGUUCGCUCGUCAUCGUACAACUUGGUGACUCUGAAUAACUUUACGCUGAUCGCACGGUCAUCGCACCGGCGACGCAUCUUUCAAAUGUCUGCCUUAUCAACUGUCGAUGGUAGGUUCUGCGCCUACCAUGGUUGUAACGGGUAACGGGGAAUCAGGGUUCGAUUCCGGAGAGGGAGCCUGAGAAACGGCUACCACAUCCAAGGAAGGCAGCAGGCGCGCAAAUUACCCACUCCCGGCACGGGGAGGUAGUGACGAAAAAUAACGAUACGGGACUCAUCCGAGGCCCCGUAAUCGGAAUGAGUACACUCUAAACCCUUUAACGAGGAUCAAUUGGAGGGCAAGUCUGGUGCCAGCAGCC